rnacentral:misc_RNA from 1 species
UCGGUGUCAUUCACUCUCUAAUAUGUUAGAAGAUCAUUUUACAUCCUUGUCCCUGUUUCCGAUAUUUGCUAUUUUUCUCUUCUUAUGUACAUUCAUAGUUUAGUUAGCAAGAUGAGACCCUGAUGUGCAGCCCAUUUGGUGCUUCAACUCUUGGAAAUUUCAUUAGACUGUCUCCCCCAACUUCUUCCCAUCUGUAUCUAGUUACAAAGUAGUGAAGGAAACUAGAAAUUUCUGCUAUUCCUAGUUCCUUUCCAG